GCCGCGCGGGUUUAUCAGCGCUGAAUCCAAGUGGAACGAUCGCCGAGUUUUACGGCAUUUAUACGGAGCCGAUUGGCGCCGCGUUCUAUCGGGGCGCCGAUUGAAACUGAAACACUCGAGAGCCGUUCGAUACGGAGGAGGCGUGAGAGUGAACUUCUCGGAAGAGCGUACAAACUUUGACAGAUGGCCUCCUGUAUCUCUCUCGACACCGAUGCUUCCACGAACGAACGACGAUGCGUGUAACACGACCAACGUUACCCUAUCGAGCAUUUUGCUGGAACCAAGCAUUUAUUCGGUCGCCGAUGAAGCGCGGCCGUGUUGUAAAGCCGGUGCAACGAAGCGGAUGGAAAUAAUUUCUACGCGCAUGCAAGACGGUUCUAUUUUUGCUGGGCACUCUAUCUUCGCUCAAAGGCAUCGAGAGCAUAUCGGAGAAGAAUAUCGGCCACAGGCGCCACUCGCAAGAACGUUCAGUUCAUAUCCCACGAUCCGGUAACGCCGCCACGCUGCUCGGAAUCACAAAGAGGACACCUUUUGAUCGGUUUCAUCUCGAUAGGUGUUCUCAACGAAGCUCAAGAAUUUU